AUACGGAGGGUGCGAGCGUUACUCGGAGUCACUGGGCGUAAAGCGUCCGUAGGCGGUCGGGUAAGUCGGGUGUGAAAGCCCCGGGCUCAACCUGGGAAGUGCACCCGAUACUGCUCGACUCGAGUGCGGGAGAGGAUGGCGGAAUUCCCGGUGUAGCGGUGAAAUGCGUAGAGAUCGGGAGGAACACCAGUGGCGAAGGCGGCCAUCUGGCCCGAAACUGACGCUGAGGGACGAAAGCGUGGGGAGCAAACAGGAUUAGAAACCCCAGUAGUCC
rnacentral:rRNA from 1 species